UCUUCGCCAGCACGCUGGUCACCACCGUGGAUACGAGGGUGGCCAUGCCAUGUGGGAGAUGGAGUUAUUGCUCAACUCAAAUCACUCUCCACCAUCCAUCUCUAAAACUUUUUUUUUUUUGAGACAGGAUCUCACUCUGUCACCCAGGCUGGGGCACAACGGUGCAAUCUUGGCUCACUGCCACCUCUGCCUCCUGGCUUCAAGCGAUUCUCCCACCUCAGCCCCCAAGUAGCUGGGAUUACAGGCAUACACUACCAUGCCCGGCUAAUUUUUGUACUUUUUGGUAGAGACAGAGUUUCACCAUGUUGGCCAGGCUGGUCUCGAAUUCCUGACCUCAGGUGACCUGCUCUCUCGGCUUCCCAAAUUGCUGGGAUUACAGACGUGAGCCACCACGCCUGGCCCAUUGUUUCACCCAUUUUAGAAUAGGGCAAGCUGAGGCCCAGAGCCAGGCAAGAGCCUGCACCCUUCAUUCUUUG
rnacentral:sRNA from 1 species